rnacentral:rRNA from 1 species
UGGAAUUGUACUAGAAGUACCUAAUACAAAACGAGGCCCAACGGGUCGUGGAGUUCAUGAUUGGGGUG